AACGAACGCUGGCGGCAGGCCUAACACAUGCAAGUCGAGCGAGGUAGCAAUACCUAGCGGCGGACGGGUGAGUAACGCGUGGGAACGUGCCCUUUGCUACGGAAUAGCCCUGGGAAACUGGGAGUAAUACCGUAUGUGCCCUUCGGGGGAAAGAUUUAUCGGCAAAGGAUCGGCCCGCGUUGGAUUAGGUAGUUGGUGGGGUAAUGGCCUACCAAGCCGACGAUCCAUAGCUGGUUUGAGAGGAUGAUCAGCCACACUGGGACUGAGACACGGCCCAGACUCCUACGGGAGGCAGCAGUGGGGAAUCUUAGACAAUGGGCGCAAGCCUGAUCUAGCCAUGCCGCGUGAGCGAUGAAGGCCUUAGGGUUGUAAAGCUCUUUCGUGGGGGAAGAUAAUGACUGUACCCCAAGAAGAAGCCCCGGCUAACUCCGUGCCAGCCGCCGCGGUAAGAC
rnacentral:rRNA from 1 species